UCUUUUAAUAAAAAUCAGUAAGUUCCUCUUUAAUUUUCAUAAAUUUUAUUGAACAUAACAAACAAAAACAACAAAACUAACAAAUUCUUUUCCAACUAGGAUCAUCUUCAUGAAAAAGGUGAGUCAAACUUGAAUGAUAUAAAUCAUUUUUGAAGAUUAAUUACAGGAUGAACAGAAAAAUCAGAUUCAUGUUUACCAAAAGAAAACUUCAGAUUUUUAUUUUAUUGAAUUGAAAUCACUAACAUAAACUUUUUGAUCUUUUUGUUUUUUAUGUUUCCUGUUUGGAAUGAGACUAAUCAAGUCAUGUAAGUAGAAACAGUUUCCUUCAACAGUUCAGCUUUUAUUUUGAAAUGUUCUUGCUGUUAUUGUGGAAUGAAUCACUAAGGAGAUAUUUUGUUUUGUGUCUUGUUUUGUCCUCGGUGUUGGAGAGGAAAACACCAACACUGAGCGUCUUAAGAAAAGCUGCAGGACCGACUCCAUCUUUGAAACAUGCAGCAGACAUCAGCUGGAGCUGGAGAGAAGAUGCUGUGAUGUUUGGAAUCAAUCCAGAGGACCAGAGAGCAGAAAACCGACCCGGAUGGCCCGCCUCAGACCGGAUCUUCUGCAGCUCCAACAAAAAUGUCGAAACUUUUACAAGAUUUUAAAAAUUUCCAGGAAUUUCUAAUAAACUCCUGUCGCUCUGCAGAAACUAUGACCUAGAAAACGACCCAAGUUUUUUUUUUUUUUCGGCCAAAACCUACAUAAUCCUAAUUAAAAGACCUCUGGGAGCACUUUGACUAUAGAUCAAAAGUUGAUGGAGUAGGACUUUUAAAAAUCAUUGUCCCCUUAAAUUCAGGAGAUGUGAAGCUCUGCUCAGCCAGGAGCGAUGCCAGGUGACAGGAUGUUCCUGACUGUGAUGGACGCAACAAACAAUAUGCUAAUGAAAUGACCAUGCUAACCCGGACAGGAUGAAUCCACAAGACUUUACUGUCUUUUCUGACACCAGACGUUCAAAGCAUGAAGAGGAACUAAUCACAGUAAUUCAAUCCAAAGAAAACUUUAAAGACUUUUAGAAAGUAUUUUUCCUCUUGUUAACUGUUUUAAUCCAUUUAUGCCAGUUAGUAAAUGAUUAAAAAUGGUUCAGUCUGUGAUAAUUCAAAAUAAUAAAUUAUUUGUCCAUUUUUGUUUUUGUCCUUUUCCCUUAAAGGGCUCGGCUGAAAGUCACUCAGCCGAAAAAUGUAAUGACUCUGUACAUCUGGGACAGGGAUGUGAUUUAUGGAGCUUAUUUUCUCCGUGCACUGUGCCUGCUGCAUCCCAAUCUCUUCAUCCGUGUGCGUCCAGAGCUCCGCCUCCUCUCCCCUGAUCACUAUUCAUUACUCUUCUCUAUUAGUAAUCCAUUUACGGCUGCUGUCACUGAUGUAGCUGAUCGCUUCUGAAAUCCCGUUAAGGCUUUCGGCUUGUUCGGUCGUUUAUUUGAAAUCAGCUACAUAUUUCUUCUAGUUUUAGACAGAUAAAUCAUGCUUUGGUUAUUAACCAAUGAAUGGAAAAUCAGAUUUGAUGGGGAUUGGAUACUGCAGCUUAAGUUUCAGGUCGCUGCUGGCUGGACGGUGGCCUGUAAGUCUCUUUACACUUGAGAUCCCUGGAAACUGACACACCACCGCUGUGAGUAAGGUCGAUCUUUAAAUACUCCCCUGAUUUAGAGCUCCCGCCGUCACUGGGAGGCACAGAGUCGACCCUGACAGUAAAGGAGUCUCUCCACUCAAUUUGGAAUCU